GCCCCAGGGCUCUGCAGGCUCCCACGGCUGCUGCCAGCAUCAGGAGCUGGAUGGGAAGCAAACCUUCCCUGCCAAGCCUCUCUUCAAAAGGACUUAGAACCAUGUCUAAGGGCUGAUGGUAAAGGCAGGGUAUUUUCCAGUCAGGCCCACGCACUUGUAUCAUGGCAGAUACUCUUGGCCUGGAAACCUGUGUGGCCUGGGGGGACACCAGAGCUCGCACUGCCUCACAGCACCGGCAUUUUGACAUUGCUGUUAUUUUCUCUUUCCAGGUUCCCCAAAGAGAGGUGGUGGCUGAAUUCAGAGCAACUGGCUUAUGGCAACCCUCAGCAAAGCAGGAUAGACUGACAGAACUCCCACCCCAAUGGAGUCCUGCAUGGAGCUGGGCUGGAGAAUUGCACGGGAAAGGAACAAUUUUAGAAGAAAACCUGUACAUAAAAGACAUGCUACUACUGUUAAGGACGAGACUUUAAAUGCUCAACAGUCAGGAAAAUUCAGAGUUAAGGUCUCCACAGCAACUUGGGCUUGCCCUCCCACGCAUUACAAUAGGGGCUUUGGUGCCUUUAUCGCAGGACACUGGGCAACCCCAGCUACUGCUCAGUAAUCCAUGCAACCAGAGAAGACCGAGCUGGACCACGGAAGCGAGGAGACACCCCGGCAUCACCCUAGAAACCAGGAAUGCCGGAGUCAGG